UCUAUAUGGCCUUUGGAUUGGACUGCGUCCGAUCAGGCUGUUGGUGAGGUAAUGGCCCACCAAACCUGUAACCGGUACGGGCUCUGAGAGGAGGAGCCCGGAGAUGGGUACUGAGACAAGGACCCAGGCCCUAUGGGGCGCAGCAGGCGCGAAACCUCUGCAAUAGGCGAAAGCCUGACAGGGUUACUCUGAGUGACUUUCGCUAAGAAAGUCUUUUGACACCUCUAAAAAUGGUGUAGAAUAAGGGGUGGGCAAGUCUGGUGUCAGCCGCCGCGGUAAUACCAGCACCCCGAGUGGUCGGGACGAUUAUUGGGCCUAAAGCAUCCGUAGCCGGUUUUACAAGUCCUCCGUUAAAUCCAGCUGCUUAACAGAUGGGCUGCGGAGGAUACUAUAAGACUAGGAGGCAGGAGAGGCAAGCGGUACUCAGUGGGUGGGGGUAAAAUCCGUUGAUCCAUUGAAGACCACCAGUGGCGAAGGCGGCUUGCCAGAAUGCGCUCGACGGUGAGGGAUGAAAGCUGGGGGAGCAAACCGGAUUAGAUACCCGGGUAGUCCCAGCUGUAAACGAUGCAGACUCGGUGAUGGACUAGCUUUAUGCUAGUCCAGCGCCGCA
rnacentral:rRNA from 1 species